GGUUAAGCGACUAAGCGUACACGGUGGAUGCCCUGGCAGUCAGAGGCGAUGAAGGACGUGCUAAUCUGCGAUAAGCGUCGGUAAGGUGAUAUGAACCGUUAUAACCGGCGAUUUCCGAAUGGGGAAACCCAGUGUGUUUCGACACACUAUCAUUAACUGAAUCCAUAGGUUAAUGAGGCGAACCGGGGGAACUGAAACAUCUAAGUACCCCGAGGAAAAGAAAUCAACCGAGAUUCCCCCAGUAGCGGCGAGCGAACGGGGAGCAGCCCAGAGCCUGAAUCAGUGUGUGUGUUAGUGGAAGCGUCUGGAAAGGCGCGCGAUACAGGGUGACAGCCCCGUACACAAAAAUGCACAUGCUGUGAGCUCGAUGAGUAGGGCGGGACACGUGGUAUCCUGUCUGAAUAUGGGGGGACCAUCCUCCAAGGCUAAAUACUCCUGACUGACCGAUAGUGAACCAGUACCGUGAGGGAAAGGCGAAAAGAACCCCGGCGAGGGGAGUGAAAAAGAACCUGAAACCGUGUACGUACAAGCAGUGGAGCACAGAGCAAUCUGUGUGACUGCGUACCUUUUGUAUAAUGGGUCAGCGACUUAUAUUCUGUAGCAAGGUUAACCGAAUAGGGGAGCCGAAGGGAAACCGAGUCUUAACUGGGCGUUAAGUUGCAGGGUAUAGACCCGAAACCCGGUGAUCUAGCCAUGGGCAGGUUGAAGGUUGGGUAACACUAACUGGAGGACCGAACCGACUAAUGUUGAAAAAUUAGCGGAUGACUUGUGGCUGGGGGUGAAAGGCCAAUCAAACCGGGAGAUAGCUGGUUCUCCCCGAAAGCUAUUUAGGUAGCGCCUCGUGAAUUCAUCUCCGGGGGUAGAGCACUGUUUCGGCAAGGGGGUCAUCCCGACUUACCAACCCGAUGCAAACUGCGAAUACCGGAGAAUGUUAUCACGGGAGACACACGGCGGGUGCUAACGUCCGUCGUGAAGAGGGAAACAACCCAGACCGCCAGCUAAGGUCCCAAAGUCAUGGUUAAGUGGGAAACGAUGUGGGAAGGCCCAGACAGCCAGGAUGUUGGCUUAGAAGCAGCCAUCAUUUAAAGAAAGCGUAAUAGCUCACUGGUCGAGUCGGCCUGCGCGGAAGAUGUAACGGGGCUAAACCAUGCACCGAAGCUGCGGCAGCGACGCUUAUGCGUUGUUGGGUAGGGGAGCGUUCUGUAAGCCUGCGAAGGUGUGCUGUGAGGCAUGCUGGAGGUAUCAGAAGUGCGAAUGCUGACAUAAGUAACGAUAAAGCGGGUGAAAAGCCCGCUCGCCGGAAGACCAAGGGUUCCUGUCCAACGUUAAUCGGGGCAGGGUGAGUCGACCCCUAAGGCGAGGCCGAAAGGCGUAGUCGAUGGGAAACAGGUUAAUAUUCCUGUACUUGGUGUUACUGCGAAGGGGGGACGGAGAAGGCUAUGUUGGCCGGGCGACGGUUGUCCCGGUUUAAGCGUGUAGGCUGGUUUUCCAGGCAAAUCCGGAAAAUCAAGGCUGAGGCGUGAUGACGAGGCACUACGGUGCUGAAGCAACAAAUGCCCUGCUUCCAGGAAAAGCCUCUAAGCAUCAGGUAACAUCAAAUCGUACCCCAAACCGACACAGGUGGUCAGGUAGAGAAUACCAAGGCGCUUGAGAGAACUCGGGUGAAGGAACUAGGCAAAAUGGUGCCGUAACUUCGGGAGAAGGCACGCUGAUAUGUAGGUGAAGUCCCUCGCGGAUGGAGCUGAAAUCAGUCGAAGAUACCAGCUGGCUGCAACUGUUUAUUAAAAACACAGCACUGUGCAAACACGAAAGUGGACGUAUACGGUGUGACGCCUGCCCGGUGCCGGAAGGUUAAUUGAUGGGGUCAGCGCAAGCGAAGCUCUUGAUCGAAGCCCCGGUAAACGGCGGCCGUAACUAUAACGGUCCUAAGGUAGCGAAAUUCCUUGUCGGGUAAGUUCCGACCUGCACGAAUGGCGUAAUGAUGGCCAGGCUGUCUCCACCCGAGACUCAGUGAAAUUGAACUCGCUGUGAAGAUGCAGUGUACCCGCGGCAAGACGGAAAGACCCCGUGAACCUUUACUAUAGCUUGACACUGAACAUUGAGCCUUGAUGUGUAGGAUAGGUGGGAGGCUUUGAAGUGUGGACGCCAGUCUGCAUGGAGCCGACCUUGAAAUACCACCCUUUAAUGUUUGAUGUUCUAACGUUGACCCGUAAUCCGGGUUGCGGACAGUGUCUGGUGGGUAGUUUGACUGGGGCGGUCUCCUCCUAAAGAGUAACGGAGGAGCACGAAGGUUGGCUAAUCCUGGUCGGACAUCAGGAGGUUAGUGCAAUGGCAUAAGCCAGCUUGACUGCGAGCGUGACGGCGCGAGCAGGUGCGAAAGCAGGUCAUAGUGAUCCGGUGGUUCUGAAUGGAAGGGCCAUCGCUCAACGGAUAAAAGGUACUCCGGGGAUAACAGGCUGAUACCGCCCAAGAGUUCAUAUCGACGGCGGUGUUUGGCACCUCGAUGUCGGCUCAUCACAUCCUGGGGCUGAAGUAGGUCCCAAGGGUAUGGCUGUUCGCCAUUUAAAGUGGUACGCGAGCUGGGUUUAGAACGUCGUGAGACAGUUCGGUCCCUAUCUGCCGUGGGCGCUGGAGAACUGAGGGGGGCUGCUCCUAGUACGAGAGGACCGGAGUGGACGCAUCACUGGUGUUCGGGUUGUCAUGCCAAUGGCACUGCCCGGUAGCUAAAUGCGGAAGAGAUAAGUGCUGAAAGCAUCUAAGCACGAAACUUGCCCCGAGAUGAGUUCUCCCUGACUCCUUGAGAGUCCUGAAGGAACGUUGAAGACGACGACGUUGAUAGGCCGGGUGUGUAAGCGCAGCGAUGCGUUGAGCUAACCGGUACUAAUGAACCGUGAGGCUUAACCUU
rnacentral:rRNA from 1 species